rnacentral:rRNA from 1 species
CGACUGUUUUUUUAGGGGAGUUUUGUCCCACUUCUUUUCCUACUUCAGGUGUGAGAUCUAUUAGUUGUUCUCUUUUCGUCGUCGGAGUUGAUGUACGAAUAACCUCUUCGUUUUCUCUUGGUGCAAGUUUUACAUCGUCUCUCACGGUUCCUUCUGUAGGGUUGUCUCGAGUAAGUCAGGUUUUAUUAAAAGUGCCUUAGUUUCGUUUGUUGUAAAAGACCAAAAGUUUUGUGUAGUUAAGUCCUUAACCUGGACGUCUCCUUUUUUAAAUCCCCCGCGGACCUAUUGGACUCGUAUCUGUAAUUACAUUUUCGCGUUGGUCUCUCACCCUGUGUAUGUCUACUCCAAAAACGUUCUCCUAUAUUUUAGUAAUCGCUGAAAGAUCUGUUCCGUUCUCUUUUUAUAAAGAAG